rnacentral:rRNA from 1 species
AUGCACGCUGGCGGCGUGCCUAAUCCCUGCAAGUCGAGCGCACAGACGAGGAGCUUGCUCCUCUGACGUUAGCGGCGGACGGGUGAGUAACACGUGGAUAACCUACCUAUAAGACUGGGAUAACUUCGGGAAACCGGAGCUAAUACCGGAUAAUAUAUUGAACCGCAUGGUUCAAUAGUGAAAGACGGUUUUGCUGUCACUUAUAGAUGGAUCCGCGCCGCAUUAGCUAGUUGGUAAGGUAACGGCUUACCAAGGCGACGAUGCGUAGCCGACCUGAGAGGGUGAUCGGCCACACUGGAACUGAGACACGGUCCAGACUCCUACGGGAGGCAGCAGUAGGGAAUCUUCCGCAAUGGGCGAAAGCCUGACGGUGCAACGCCGCGUGAGUGAUGAAGGUCUUCGGAUCGUAAAACUCUGUUAUUAGGGAAGAACAAAUGUGUAAGUAACUAUGCACGUCUUGACGGUACCUAAUCAGAAAGCCACGGCUAACUACGUG